rnacentral:rRNA from 1 species
AUUGAACGCUGGCGGCAUGCUUUACACAUGCCAGUCGAACGGCAGCGCGGGCUUCGGCCUGGCGGCGAGUGGCGAACGGGUGAGUAAUGCAUCGGAACGUGCCCAGUAGUGGGGGAUAGCCCGGCGAAAGCCGGAUUAAUACCGCAUACGACCUGAGGGUGAACGCGGGGGACCGAAAGGCCUCGCGCUAUUGGAGCGGCCGAUGUCGGAUUAGCUAGUUGGUGGGGUAAAGGCUUACCAAGGCGACGAUCCGUAGCUGGUCUGAGAGGACGACCAGCCACACUGGGACUGAGACACGGCCCAGACUCCUACGGGAGGCAGCAGUGGGGAAUUUUGGACAAUGGGGGCAACCCUGAUCCAGCCAUGCCGCGUGCGGGAAGAAGGCCUUCGGGUUGUAAACCGCUUUUGUUCGGGAAGAAAUCCUCUGGGCUAAUACCCCGGGGGGAUGACGGUACCGGAAGAAUAAGCACCGGCUAACUACGUG